GACGGUGGUCCUGUGGUGCAUCUC
rnacentral:siRNA from 1 species